CAGCCUUACGGCCGUGUCACCUGAUCAGUUCCAAGGCCUGUCCAAACUAAAAGACCUGGCUGUUCAUGACAACAAUAUCGAAUAUCUGCCGCGUGGAGUUUUUAAGGACACGAAACAGAUUAUGUCUAUGAGCUUUCAUCUGAACAAAAUCACUGAAGUAACUAAUGAACAAUUCAAAGAUGUCGCGCCGACAAUUCGGUUCUUGUACUUUCAUUACAACAAGAUGCGGGAACUACCGGAAGGUUUUUUCUCUAACAUGAAGUAGUUAACAAC